GCCAGGCGUGGUGGUGCACACCUGUAAUUCCAGCAGCUUGGGAGGCUGAGGCAGGAGGAUUGUGAGUUCAAAGCCAGCCUCAGCAACUUGGUGAGGUCCUAAGCAAUUCAGUGAGAACCUGUCUCUA
rnacentral:sRNA from 1 species